AGUGAACGCUGGCGGUAGGCCUAACACAUGCAAGUCGAACGGCAGCACAGUAAGAGCUUGCUCUUACGGGUGGCGAGUGGCGGACGGGUGAGGAAUACAUCGGAAUCUACUUUUUCGUGGGGGAUAACGUAGGGAAACUUACGCUAAUACCGCAUACGACCUCCGGGUGAAAGCAGGGGAUCUUCGGACCUUGCGCGAUUGAAUGAGCCGAUGUCGGAUUAGCUAGUUGGCGGGGUAAAGACCCACCAAGCCGACGAUCCGUAGCUGGUCUGAGAGGAUGAGCAGCCACACUGGAACGGAGACACGGUCCAGACUCCUACGGGAGGCAGCAGUGGGGAAUAUUGGACAAUGGGCGCGAGCCUGAUCCAGCCAUACCGCGUGGGUGAAGAAGGCCUUCGGGUUGUAAAGCCCUUUUGUUGGGAAAGAAAAGCAGCAGGUUAAUACCCAGCUGUUCUGACGGUACCCAAAGAAUAAGCACCGGCUAACUUCGUG
rnacentral:rRNA from 1 species